AUUGAACGCUGGCGGCAGGCCUAAUACAUGCAAGUCGAGCGGAUGAAGGGAGCUUGCUCCUGGAUUCAGCGGCGGACGGGUGAGUAAUGCCUAGGAAUCUGCUUGGUGGUGGGGGAUAACGUCCGGAAACGGGGGCUAAUAACGCAUCCGUCCUGAGGGAGAAAGUGGGUGAUCUUCGGAACUCACGCUAUCAGAUGCGCCUAGGUCGGAUUAGCUAGUUGGUGGGGUAAAGGCCUACCAAGGCGACGAUCCGUAACUGGUCUGAGAGGAUGAUCAGUCACACUGGAACUGAGACACGGUCCAGACUCCUACGGGAGGCGGCAGUGGGGAAUAUUGGACAAUGGGCGAAAGCCUGAUCCAGCCAGGCCGCGUGUGUGAAGAGGUUCUUCGGAUUGUAAAGCACUUUAAGUUGGGAGGAAGGGCAGUAAGUUAAUACCUUGCUGUUUUGACGUUACCAACGGAAAAAGCACCGGCUAACUUCGUG
rnacentral:rRNA from 1 species